rnacentral:rRNA from 1 species
UGGGGAAUUUUGGACAAUGGGGGAAACCCUGAUCCAGCCAUCCCGCGUGUGCGAUGAAGGCCUUCGGGUUGUAAAGCACUUUUGGCAGGAAAGAAACGUCAUGGGUUAAUACCCCGUGAAACUGACGGUACCUGCAGAAUAAGCACCGGCUAACUACGUGCCAGCAGCCGCGGUAAUACGUAGGGUGCAAGCGUUAAUCGGAAUUACUGGGCGUAAAGCGUGCGCAGGCGGUUCGGAAAGAAAGAUGUGAAAUCCCAGAGCUCAACUUUGGAACUGCAUUUUUAACUACCGGGCUAGAGUGUGUCAGAGGGAGGUGGAAUUCUGCGUGUAGCAGUGAAAUGCGUAGAUAUGCGGGGGAACACCGAUGGCGAAGGCAGCCUCCUGGGAUAACACUGACGCUCAUGCACGAAAGCGUGGGGAGCAAACAGG